UCGCCCGGCUAAUUUUUUGUAUUUUUAGUAGAGACGGGGUUUCACCGUGUUAGCCAGGAUGGUCUGGAUCUCCUGACCUCGUGAUCCGCCCGCCUCGGCCUCCCAAAGUGCUGAGAUUACAGGCGUGAGCCACCGUGCCUGGCCUCCUCUCUUAAUUCAAGUAAUUUUACGUGAGCAACAAUGGGGUAAGGAGGAGAAAAGAAAGAAGGAAAAAUUGGAAAGAUAAAUGGGGUCUUUCCAGUGAAGGAACUUGGCAAAUGUAUUUGAUGUACUACUUGAUUUAACAUCUAUGCUUCCAAACGUUUAUUAUAAAGAAAUUACCAAGGCUGAAUUUUCCUACAUAAUUAAGAGUUUGGAAUUUGGGCAAUGUGAAGAACCACAUCUGUCCUGAAAUCAAUUAUCUGUGUUUGAAACACAAGAAAUAAGAAGACCAUUUUGAGAAGAACAGAGAGUAGCCUUAAGAAAAUCCCUGUCGCAUGCACUCUGGGAUUUGGACUCAAAUGCUAAUUAUACAACGUUGGUGGACCAGCCUUAAAACCAACAAUGAUUUGUAACAUUGAUUCUUUGGGAAAGGGCAUUCAGGAUCCCACAUCACCAUGUAACAAAUGAAUUUUUGUAACAAAACCCAUUUAGACAAGAUCAUGUUCUGUUGCUCAGGCUGGAGUGCAGUGACACCAUCAUAGCUCACUAUAACCUCAAACUACUGGGCUCAGGAGAUCCCCCCACCUCAGCCUCCCGAGUAGCUUGGACUACAGGAACCACUUGGGUGCCCAGCUGCUGUCCAUUCUCCACACCUAUCCCACCUGAUGGAAUGCUGUUGAGAAAAACAUCACUGCAAUGCCUGAUAAACAGACAUGGGUCCCAGACCCAAUAAGAGUGAAACCAUCCCCCUAUUUAAAUGAAAUUAUCGCUGAUGAGAAAGACAAAUUAAUUUCUCUGUCCCCAGUAUUACACAAAACUUUGGAUGCUACCAUUGGUACAAUCUUAUUUUCCCCAGGAGCUCAGAGUCCCACCUUCAUUCUUUUUGUUUAAUGCCUAAGCUUGCCUCUCCACCUG
rnacentral:lncRNA from 1 species